GACGAACGCUGGCGGCGUGCUUAACACAUGCAAGUCGAACGGAAAGGCCCUGCUUUUGUGGGGUGCUCGAGUGGCGAACGGGUGAGUAACACGUGAGUAACCUGCCCUUGACUUUGGGAUAACUUCAGGAAACUGGGGCUAAUACCGGAUAGGAGCUCCUGCUGCAUGGUGGGGGUUGGAAAGUUUCGGCGGUUGGGGAUGGACUCGCGGCUUAUCAGCUUGUUGGUGGGGUAGUGGCUUACCAAGGCUUUGACGGGUAGCCGGCCUGAGAGGGUGACCGGCCACAUUGGGACUGAGAUACGGCCCAGACUCCUACGGGAGGCAGCAGUGGGGAAUAUUGCACAAUGGGCGGAAGCCUGAUGCAGCAACGCCGCGUGCGGGAUGACGGCCUUCGGGUGGUAAACAGCUUUCGCCUGUGACGAAGCGUGAGUGACGGUAAUGGGUAAAGAAGCACCGGCUAACUACGU
rnacentral:rRNA from 1 species